CCCGACUCCUACUUUCGGCAGCAGUGUUUAAUAUUGCACACUGUGGGAAACCCUUCUUCAGCGACUCCUCUUGAGUGAAUCCUUCUUUCGGUAUUUCCCUCUCUAUCCUCCUUUAAGAAAAUUCCUUUACCUGAUUCCUCCUCCCCGGCUCCCUACGUGCCAGCCUCCUCGGUAAUACUUCUUUGGCAAGCUUUCUCCGGAUUUACUGGGUUUAAAGGGAGCGUAGACGGCAGCGCAAGUCUGAAGUGAAAUGCCGGGGAUUAACCCCGGAACUGCUUUGGAAACUGUGCAGCUAGAGUGCAGGAGAGGUAAGUGGAAUUCAUAGUGUAGCGGUGAAAUGCGUAGAGAGGAGGAGGAACAACAGUGGCGAAGGCGGAUUACUGGACUGUAACUGACGUUGAGGCUCGAAAGCGUGGGGAGCAAACAGGAUUAGAUACCCGAGUA
rnacentral:rRNA from 1 species